UAUUGUUGCAAGAAUUAUGUGGGUGAGAGCUACCCACAGUGUACCUAUAGACGAUCCCAUUUUAUUGCUUUGGCUAAAUAAUUCUGUAGAGGCAGACCAGCAGAUGAUGUUUUGUUUAUUUCUGUCUUAAAAUACUGAGUGUAAUCAUGUGUGGUACUGUGCUUAGGGCAAUAAUCAGACUAAUUGAGAUAAGAUAAGGCACUCACGUUGAUUAUUUUUAAUUACAUGUUGCUACUUAUACUUUGCAUGAGAUCACAAUUCAAUAUUAUUUUCUUAUUGUUCUUUCUGUCAAGAACUCUUUUUUGUUGCAGUUAGUAAAAUCCCCAUGAGUCAUGUCUAGUUUAAUAAACAAAUUAAACACUAGAUUUUCG